ACUCUCCUUAAAUAUGCCUCUUGUUUUCUCUCCUAUCUCCACUUCUCUUUCAACCUCUGAAUAUUCACCAUACUAUGGCGUCUUCCUUCUCUCCUUUUUCUUCCACAAAAUCUAACAUUAAUCCUUCUACACAACUUAUUGUCCACCCAAACAUCAAUUUAUCCUUACUUAUCCAGCCCCAAAUCCUUCUCAACCAAUCUGAUUUCCCAUUCUUCAAGAACUUACCACACCCUUUCUCUCACUCAUCUUUCAUAGCCUCACAGAACCUUUACCACUAUCAGUAGAUCCUCUUCAAAUCCUUGAUCGAGAUGACAUUCCAAUUGCAAACCUUAUUCCUAGACGG
rnacentral:lncRNA from 1 species